GUCUACGGCCAUACCACCCUGAACGCGCCCGAUCUCGUCUGAUCUCGGAAGCUAAGCAGGGUCAGGCCUGGUUAGUACUUGGAUGGGAGUAAAUAAGAAUUCCAUUUACUAAUCUAAGGGCCACRUCCC
rnacentral:rRNA from 1 species